UAAGCCUGUGAAGGUGGCCUGUGAGGGUUGCUGGAGGUAUCAGAAGUGCGAAUGCUGACAUAAGUAACGAUAAAGCGGGUGAAAAGCCCGCUCGCCGGAAGACCAAGGGUUCCUGUCCAACGUUAAUCGGGGCAGGGUGAGUCGACCCCUAAGGCGAGGCCGAAAGGCGUAGUCGAUGGGAAACGGGUUAAUAUUCCCGUACUUGGUGUUACUGCGAAGGGGGGACGGAGAAGGCUAUGUUGGCCGGGCGACGGUUGUCCCGGUUUAAGCGUGUAGGUGUGUGUUCCAGGUAAAUCCGGUUCACUUUAAC
rnacentral:rRNA from 4 species